CCUACGGGUGGCUGCAGUCGCGAAUCAUUCACAAUGGGCGCAAGCCUGAUGAUGCCACGCCGCGUGCGGGAUGAAGGCCCUUUGGGUUGUAAACCGCUGUCAAGGAGGGGGAACCGCCGGAUGUGAACAGCAUCCGGUCUGACUGCCUUCUAAAGGAAGCCCCGGCAAAACAUGUGCCAGCAGCCGCGGUAAUACAUGUGGGGCAAGCGUUGUUCGGAAUUACUGGGCAUAAAGGGUGCGUAGGCGGCUUGUUAAGUCACUGGUGAAAGUUUUCG
rnacentral:rRNA from 1 species